GUAAAAACGGUGAAAUUGGAUACCUAGCAAUUUUUCGUUAUUUCUUCAGCCCGUCAUUUCUCUCCACCCUUCGUCUCUCUUGCUCCCUGUGUGUCCUACCGAAAAGCCGUGAAAUUCCUGAAGGUUUACACUUUUGCUUUUAUUGUUUUGGCGCACAAAUUAGUGGAUUUUCUUGGCUACUAAAAACCGUUAUAACUUCUAGCCUACUAAUGUAACUGCGCCACUUGUAACAAACGAUCAUUUCAAUCAUAACCGCAGAACACACGUUGGAUAGUCUUGCAGUUCAACGCCCUACUCCGGUUAAAGUGAGCAAGAAAUUCAGAAUGAAAGAACCGGGGAAUGAAAAUAAGGGUGGAAAGUAAGGAGGGAGAGGAGGAAGGAGAAUAAAGGGAAACUAGGAAGAUUUUUUUGCUCAAGGAAGAGAUAGAAAGUUAUGUGGGCACAAUCAUCGUCUCCCACGGUUUGACAGGUCAAGAAGUUUCUACUCCCGGGGGAAUUUGAACUGCCCUGUCCUCCCCAGAGCAGUGUGAAAUCUACCCACCCUGGAACUCUCUCCUACUGACACAAGAGAUGGAGGGAGUAAAGGAGAGAGAGAGGGAGGGAGUAAAGGAGAGAGAGAGGGAGCGGGGAGAGGAGAAAGAGAGCGACGAGAUGGAGGAAGAGGAGAAAGAGAGCGACGAGAUGGAGGAAGAGGAGAAAGAGAGCGAGGCUGAAGAGGAAGGUGAUGAAGAGGAGGAGGAUGAAGAUGCAGAGGGAGCAGCGUUGGUGUGGCAGGAGGGCUCGUACGGAGAGGAUGACCUGGGCCUACCCAUAAUGCACUGGGAGGCGCUGAGCCUGCGCAUCGCCGAGCUAGAGAAACAGGAAGAGGAAAAGAGAGAGAAGACAAAGUCUUCCAGUGUCCUGGAACGAGGGAAGAUGCUGUCCAUGAGCUGGCCAGGAGAGAGAGAUCGAGGGAAGAGUAAAGAUUGCUGGGAGGACAGAGGAGAGGCGGAGGACUGCAAUAGCCGCGUGACAGCCCUGACCGCUCGUCUUUCAAAUCAGAUGAACCUACAGCUGUGCUUCAUCAAUGACAGCGGGAGCGAAGAAGAGGAGGAGGAUUCUGGGGUAACGAUUUGCACAAAGAAUUCCAAAAUGGUGGUAAAGAAUGCUUCCGGCGUGCAGGUGUCCCAGCAGCCCCAGUCCCCAGCUGCAACCAAAAGCAAAUCAUCAGGCUUCAAGGCUGCGCUGAGUGCACUCAAAAACAAGCUGAGAACAGAACAGAAACGGAAGAGCCUAGUGUGUGGUGAUCCACUGUUGAAGAAUAGAAAGCGAGACCAUAGUGACCUGCAGGCCUCCAGUCUCAAAGAACUCAACACUCACAGAAACUCUCUCAAUAAGGCAAUACAAGACCUGAGCACUGAGCUGGUGGUUCACCUCCAGGCUCGAGACCAGCUGAGGACGGAACAGGACGCCAUGCUGCUGGAGGUACAGGAUAUGACAUCACUCUGACCCAGUCCCAGGCAAGAUGGGGGACAGUUUGUGCUGCAGAUUUCGUACUAGAAAUUCCUCUCCGGGGUUCAAUCUCUAUGACAAGGCCCAUCACUAUAGAAUCCUUCUAAUCAUUCUAAUUCUAUGGUGAGUGUCAUCACAUAAAAUGGAAUCCUGGUGUCGGUGAUGUCACAAUUAAUCGAUGACGGAUUAGACGCCGAAAGGAUGAGUCAAAUCACUGUGAAGAGACUGCAUCACUCCUAAAGACUGUUGAAUUGAAUUGCACAGCGUUUUCGUUUUUCUUUUUAUACCCAGUGAGCAAAACUGGUUGAAAUGACAUCAUUACACCCAGUUUUACAUUCAUUAUGACAUCACGUCGACCAGUUUUGUUUUCCCUCUGUGUUUUUGUUUGUUUGUGGGAAAUCAAAUGUGUAUGUCUGGACUGUUAAUGUUUUAGUGUUUUAGGGGGAAAUAACUGGAAUAUUAUAAGGGAUGAAUAAAUUACCAUUGCUUCCCAUGGAUCGAUCUAGCUCUAAUGUCAUUGUCAUCCAAGUGUUGAAAUGUAAUGGUUGUUUGCUAGCACAUUAUUCAAAUUAUGCGUCAUAUUAUACCAAAUAAAGCUGAUUCUGAUUGCAUAAUAAUCAUCUAACCACUAGGCUACCGGGGCGGCAGGUAGACUAGUGGUUAGAGUGCAGGGGCGGCAGGUAGACUAGUGGUUAGUCUGUAGGGGCGACAGGUAGACUAGUGGUUAGUCUGUAGGGGCGGCAGGUAGACUAGUGGUUAGAGUGUAGGGGUGGCAGGUAGACUAGUGGUUAGUCUGUAGGGGCGGCAGGUAGACUAGUGGUUAGAGUGUAGGGGCGGCAGGUAGACUAGUGGUUAGAGUGUAGGGGCGGCAGAUAGACUAGUGGUUAGAGUGUAGGGGUGGCAGGUAGACUAGUGGUUAGAGUGCAGGGGCGGCAGGUAGACUAGUGGUUAGAGUGCAGGGGCGGCAGGUAGACUAGUGGUUAGAGUGUAGGGGCGGCAGGUAGACUGG
ensembl:lncRNA